rfam:Xiphophorus maculatus strain JP 163 A Contig357.37, whole genome shotgun sequence.
CCAACGGCUCUUUUAAGAGCCACCCACCCACUUCCGUCCGAAGAG